CCUACGGGCGGCAGCAGUGAGGAAUAUUGGUCAAUGGACGAGAGUCUGAACCAGCCAAGUAGCGUGAAGGAUGACUGCCCUAUGGGUUGUAAACUUCUUUUAUAUGGGAAUAAAAUGUUCCACGUGUGGGAUUUUGUAUGUACCAUAUGAAUAAGGAUCGGCUAACUCCGUGCCAGCAGCCGCGGUAAUACGGAGGAUCCGAGCGUUAUCCGGAUUUAUUGGGUUUAACGGGAGCGUAGGUGGGUUGUUAAGUCAGUUGUGAAAGUUUGCGGCUCAACCGUAAAAUUGCAGUUGAAACUGGCAGUCUUGAGUACAGUAGAGGUGGGCGGAAUUCGUGGUGUAGCGGUGAAAUGCUUAGAUAUCACGAAGAACUCCGAUUGCGAAGGCAGUUCACUGGACUGCAACUGACACUGAGGCUCGAAAGUGUGGGUAUCAAACAGGAUUAGAUACCCUUGUAGUC
rnacentral:rRNA from 1 species